rnacentral:lncRNA from 1 species
CCUGAGUGAGUUGGAGUUUUUCAACUGCCAAUGGAUUCCUAAAGGGUUUUGUUUUGUUUUGGUUUUCCCUAGGAGGAGACUGGUGUUUCUGUUUGAACAUUGAAAAAAACCCAGUGGCAGGUGAAGGAGGAGAACAGUAUGAACUAUUCUGGGAAUGAAAUUGCAUGUGUCCUUCAAACUCAGGAGAAUAAUAACAAAAAAGAUGUUACUGCAAUGGAGGAAAGAACUCUUCUGCACCAUAUUUCCCUUAUUUUCCCACCUCAUUCAGAGAAGUAUUAUGAUACCAAGAAACCUAAGAAGUUACAAGUCUGAUGUACAGGAAAGAAAUGC